UGAGGAAUAUUGGUCAAUGGGCGAGAGCCUGAACCAGCCAAGUCGCGUGAGGGAAGACUGCCCUAUGGGUUGUAAACCUCUUUUGCCGGGGAGCAAAGAGCGGCACGUGUGCCGCGCCGAGAGUACCCGGAGAAAAAGCAUCGGCUAACUCCGUGCC
rnacentral:rRNA from 1 species